UGGGGAAUUUUGGACAAUGGGCGAAAGCCUGAUCCAGCAAUGCCGCGUGUGUGAAGAAGGCCUUCGGGUUGUAAAGCACUUUUGUCCGGAAAGAAAUCCUUGGCUCUAAUACAGUCGGGGGAUGACGGUACCGGAAGAAUAAGCACCGGCUAACUACGUGCCAGCAGCCGCGGUAAUACGUAGGGUGCAAGCGUUAAUCGGAAUUACUGGGCGUAAAGCGUGCGCAGGCGGUUUGCUAAGACCGAUGUGAAAUCCCCGGGCUCAACCUGGGAACUGCAUUGGUGACUGGCAGGCUAGAGUAUGGCAGAGGGGGGUAGAAUUCCACGUGUAGCAGUGAAAUGCGUAGAGAUGUGGAGGAAUACCGAUGGCGAAGGCAGCCCCCUGGGCCAAUACUGACGCUCAUGCACGAAAGCGUGGGGGAGCAAACAGGAUUAGAUACCCUGGUAGUCCACGCCCUAAAACGAUGUCAACUAGUUGUUGGGGAUUCAUUUCCUUAGUAACGUAGCUAACGCAUGAAGUUGACCGCCUGGGGAGUACGGUCGCAAGAUUAAAACUUAAAGGAAUUGACGGGGUCAUAGCUGUUUCCU
rnacentral:rRNA from 1 species